CGCUGUUCUUGCAACGUCAUUUCGCUGACUCUACAUUUAAUUCAUAGCAUUUCGGUCCCUUCUCCUGAAAACACGCUUUCCAAUGUAAAGAUACUCAACGUAGUGGUGAAAUUGAACUCCCUUUUCAACUUUGCGGAGGCAAAUGUAAUCUGCCGAUCUCUGAAAGCGCUUAGGCCUAAUUGCUUAAUGACACAAAUCCCAUCUCUCAACCACCACAUGCUAUACCUUGACUAUAAUGUCCUCUAUCGUGCUUGUAAAUAAUACAAAGUGAUGUUUUGGCUUAUUUUACCAUGUCCUCCUGAAGUACACAAGUGAGCCCUGCUGUUCUUAGCCCCUCUGCUUUUUGUAGGUCGUUAGACCCAUGAUCUGCUGAUAGGUGUUGUGGGGACAGUGUAGGAGACUGCUGUGCCUAGGUAAGUAAGCCGGGGUGUCAUGUCCUACAACGAAGAUGUAGGAGGUAAUGUUAAUCUUUACAGAUUCAUGCUUUAUAGACUGAGAAUGGAUUGUGUGUACUUCACGUCCUGUUUUGAGGACACUUCCAACAUUUAGUGUCUUGAGGUUCUUAGUCUGUCCAACUCGUCCCCAUCUUAUUUCUCAUCUUCCUCUUUUAGGCCACUUUGAGCUGGAUGUACGGAAGUGGAGUUCUGCUUAAGGUAUUGGCAUAUAGAUUUUGCAGAAUCGGUAAACUGAUGUUGAUGUAAAAACAAACGUGGAACUAUUGGAAUGUUACAUCACUGCCCCUUAUUUUUGUACUGCAGCAAUGGAAUCGUUUCAUGUGGGGUGAUUUGACUUGAAUAUAGUGCAGGGUCGGCAGCUGGUCCUAAAUUCCUGGUGGUCCUGAAGCCCUGACCCGGCUUGUCAGGAUUGUAUGCUGUGAAUGGCUUCCACGGCCACCCGGUCAGAUGGAUCUGUAUGUAGGAGCUGCAGUAGCACGCCGAAGGCUUUGAGCGAGCCCAUCUCGAAGAAAGAUCACUGACUACCACAUGACAGUAGUUAUCUCCUGACCAAAUAGGUUUUCUCAAGUUCAUUUGGUUACAUUGACCUUUGACAUUUGACUCAUGUGUUUGUGUUAUCAUGCUGCAAUGCAAAGACAUUACAACUCAAAAGCAC
ensembl:lncRNA